rnacentral:rRNA from 1 species
AUUGAACGCUGGCGGCAUGCUUUACGCAUGCAAGUCGAACGGCAGCGCGGGCUUCGGCCUGGCGGCGAGUGGCGAACGGGUGAGUAAUGCAUCGGAACGUGCCCAGUAGUGGGGGAUAGCCCGGCGAAAGCCGGAUUAAUACCGCAUACGACCUGAGGGUGAAAGCGGGGGACCGAAAGGCCUCGCGCUAUUGGAGCGGCCGAUGUCGGAUUAGCUAGUUGGUGGGGUAAAGGCUUACCAAGGCGACGAUCCGUAGCUGGUCUGAGAGGACGACCAGCCACACUGGGACUGAGACACGGCCCAGACUCCUACGGGAGGCAGCAGUGGGGAAUUUUGGACAAUGGGGGCAACCCUGAUCCAGCCAUGCCGCGUGCGGGAAGAAGGCCUUCGGGUUGUAAACCGCUUUUGUUCGGGAAGAAAUCCUCUGGGCUAAUACCCCGGGGGGAUGGCGGUACCGGAAGAAUAAGCACCGGCUAACUACGUG